UACGUAGGGUGCAAGCGUUAAUCGGAAUUAUUGGGCGUAAAGCGUGCGCAGGCGGUUGUGCAAGACAGAUGUGAAAUCCCCGGGCUCAACCUGGGAACUGCAUUUGUGACUGCACGGCUGGAGUGCGGCAGAGGGGGAUGGAAUUCCUGGUGUAGCGGUGAAAUGCGCAGAUAUCAGGAGGAACACCAAAAAAGGCGAAGGCAGUCAACUAUUCUGUUCCUGACAUUGAGGCAUGAAAGCGUGGGGAGCAAACCGG
rnacentral:rRNA from 1 species